rnacentral:tRNA from 1 species
UAUGGCUCAGUGGCAUAGCACCUGCCUGGAAAGCAUGAGGCCUGAGUUUGAAUCCUAGUA